rnacentral:tRNA from 28 species
GCCUUCUUGGCUCAGUUGGCAGAGCGUCUGCCUAGUAAGCAGAAGGUCGUCAGUUCGAUUCUGGCAGCAGGCA